rnacentral:lncRNA from 1 species
GGGAGGGUAAUAUGUAGACAAGCCUUACCCCUACCCGAAAGGGCAGAGAGGCUGUUUCCAAUCGACCCCCGGCACAUGCCAGCCUUAUGGCUCCCUCUUUAACAUGUGUCAUCGUUUUGAGGCCUUCAAGUAUACUAGAGGUGGUUCAAUAGCCUCCCAUAGUUUCCCUACCAUUUUUCGGCCAUCUAUGGUCGUUUGAGUAACUCUGUGACUUUUCCGGCUAAACUUGUAACCUUUAAAGGUUUUCUCACCUUCUCUGGGUUCUCCAAAACUCUAGCUUUAAUGAUUUUCCUAUUUUCUUUAAUAUCUACCUUAGAUCUGUGUAUAUUAUGAACCUUUUGGUGUUUUCCUCAAAGGCUUUUCUCGAUUUCUUC